CAUCCGCAGCAGCCAACGGGAGGUGAUCUCCUGCAUCUGCGGGACGGACUUGGUGGUGGUCGCCAAGUUCCGCGCGGCGGCUGUGCCGAGACUCUGCUGGGCGCGGUUCUC
rfam:Streptomyces sp. WM6378 P402contig7.1, whole genome shotgun sequence.